CCUUUACUAUAGCUUCGCCUUGGCGUUAGCGACCGUAUGUGUAGGAUAGGUGGGAGGCUAUGAAACCGGGGCGCCAGCUCUGGUGGAGCCAUCCUUGAAAUACCACCCUUACUGUCGUUGACGUCUAACCGAGGGCCGUUAUCCGGUCCCGGGACAUGGCGUGGUGGGUAGUUUGACUGGGCGGUCGCCUCCUAAAGUGUAACGGAGGCGCGCGAUGGUGGGCUCAGACCGGUCGGAAAUCGGUCGUCGAGUGCAAUGGCAUAAGCCCGCCUGACUGCGAGACUGACAAGUCGAGCAGAGACGAAAGUCGGCCAUAGUGAUCCGGUGGUCCCGCGUGGAAGGGCCAUCGCUCAACGGAUAAAAGGUA
rnacentral:rRNA from 1 species